rnacentral:tRNA from 1 species
GGUAUGUAAGUCAGUUGGUAGAGUGCUUGCGUCGAAUGCACAAAGUCCUGGGUUCAAUCCCUAGCACCA